UUAAGCGACUAAGCGUACACGGUGGAUGCCCUGGCAGUCAGAGGCGAUGAAGGACGUGCUAAUCUGCGAUAAGCGUCGGUGAGGUGAUAUGAACCGUUAUAACCGGCGAUUUCCGAAUGGGGAAACCCAGUGUGUUUCGACACACUAUCAUUAACUGAAUCCAUAGGUUAAUGAGGCGAACCGGGGGAACUGAAACAUCUAAGUACCCCGAGGAAAAGAAAUCAACCGAGAUUCCCCCAGUAGCGGCGAGCGAACGGGGAGGAGCCCAGAGCCUGAAUCAGUGUGUGUGUUAGUGGAAGCGUCUGGAAAGGCGCGCGAUACAGGGUGACAGCCCCGUACACAAAAAUGCACAUAUUGUGAGCUCGAUGAGUAGGGCGGGACACGUGGUAUCCUGUCUGAAUAUGGGGGGACCAUCCUCCAAGGCUAAAUACUCCUGACUGACCGAUAGUGAACCAGUACCGUGAGGGAAAGGCGAAAAGAACCCCGGCGAGGGGAGUGAAAAAGAACCUGAAACCGUGUACGUACAAGCAGUGGGAGCCUCUUAAUGGGGUGACUGCGUACCUUUUGUAUAAUGGGUCAGCGACUUAUAUUCUGUAGCAAGGUUAACCGAAUAGGGGAGCCGAAGGGAAACCGAGUCUUAACUGGGCGUUAAGUUGCAGGGUAUAGACCCGAAACCCGGUGAUCUAGCCAUGGGCAGGUUGAAGGUUGGGUAACACUAACUGGAGGACCGAACCGACUAAUGUUGAAAAAUUAGCGGAUGACUUGUGGCUGGGGGGGAAAGGCCAAUCAAACCGGGAGAUAGCUGGUUCUCCCCGAAAGCUAUUUAGGUAGCGCCUCGUGAAUUCAUCUCCGGGGGUAGAGCACUGUUUCGGCAAGGGGGUCAUCCCGACUUACCAACCCGAUGCAAACUGCGAAUACCGGAGAAUGUUAUCACGGGAGACACACGGCGGGUGCUAACGUCCGUCGUGAAGAGGGAAACAACCCAGACCGCCAGCUAAGGUCCCAAAGUCAUGGUUAAGUGGGAAACGAUGUGGGAAGGCCCAGACAGCCAGGAUGUUGGCUUAGAAGCAGCCAUCAUUUAAAGAAAGCGUAAUAGCUCACUGGUCGAGUCGGCCUGCGCGGAAGAUGUAACGGGGCUAAACCAUGCACCGAAGCUGCGGCAGCGACGCUUAUGCGUUGUUGGGUAGGGGAGCGUUCUGUAAGCCUGUGAAGGUGUGCUGUGAGGCAUGCUGGAGGUAUCAGAAGUGCGAAUGCUGACAUAAGUAACGAUAAAGCGGGUGAAAAGCCCGCUCGCCGGAAGACCAAGGGUUCCUGUCCAACGUUAAUCGGGGCAGGGUGAGUCGACCCCUAAGGCGAGGCCGAAAGGCGUAGUCGAUGGGAAACAGGUUAAUAUUCCUGUACUUGGUGUUACUGCGAAGGGGGGACGGAGAAGGCUAUGUUGGCCGGGCGACGGUUGUCCCGGUUUAAGCGUGUAGGCUGGUUUUCCAGGCAAAUCCGGAAAACCAAGGCUGAGGCGUGAUGACGAGGCACUACGGUGCUGAAGCGACAAAUGCCCUGCUUCCAGGAAAAGCCUCUAAGCAUCAGGUAACAUCAAAUCGUACCCCAAACCGACACAGGUGGUCAGGUAGAGAAUACCAAGGCGCUUGAGAGAACUCGGGUGAAGGAACUAGGCAAAAUGGUGCCGUAACUUCGGGAGAAGGCACGCUGAUAUGUAGGUGAAGCGACUUGCUCGUGGAGCUGAAAUCAGUCGAAGAUACCAGCUGGCUGCAACUGUUUAUUAAAAACACAGCACUGUGCAAACACGAAAGUGGACGUAUACGGUGUGACGCCUGCCCGGUGCCGGAAGGUUAAUUGAUGGGGUUAGCGGUAACGCGAAGCUCUUGAUCGAAGCCCCGGUAAACGGCGGCCGUAACUAUAACGGUCCUAAGGUAGCGAAAUUCCUUGUCGGGUAAGUUCCGACCUGCACGAAUGGCGUAAUGAUGGCCAGGCUGUCUCCACCCGAGACUCAGUGAAAUUGAACUCGCUGUGAAGAUGCAGUGUACCCGCGGCAAGACGGAAAGACCCCGUGAACCUUUACUAUAGCUUGACACUGAACAUUGAGCCUUGAUGUGUAGGAUAGGUGGGAGGCUUUGAAGUGUGGACGCCAGUCUGCAUGGAGCCGACCUUGAAAUACCACCCUUUAAUGUUUGAUGUUCUAACGUUGGCCCGUAAUCCGGGUUGCGGACAGUGUCUGGUGGGUAGUUUGACUGGGGCGGUCUCCUCCUAAAGAGUAACGGAGGAGCACGAAGGUUGGCUAAUCCUGGUCGGACAUCAGGAGGUUAGUGCAAUGGCAUAAGCCAGCUUGACUGCGAGCGUGACGGCGCGAGCAGGUGCGAAAGCAGGUCAUAGUGAUCCGGUGGUUCUGAAUGGAAGGGCCAUCGCUCAACGGAUAAAAGGUACUCCGGGGAUAACAGGCUGAUACCGCCCAAGAGUUCAUAUCGACGGCGGUGUUUGGCACCUCGAUGUCGGCUCAUCACAUCCUGGGGCUGAAGUAGGUCCCAAGGGUAUGGCUGUUCGCCAUUUAAAGUGGUACGCGAGCUGGGUUUAGAACGUCGUGAGACAGUUCGGUCCCUAUCUGCCGUGGGCGCUGGAGAACUGAGGGGGGCUGCUCCUAGUACGAGAGGACCGGAGUGGACGCAUCACUGGUGUUCGGGUUGUCAUGCCAAUGGCACUGCCCGGUAGCUAAAUGCGGAAGAGAUAAGUGCUGAAAGCAUCUAAGCACGAAACUUGCCCCGAGAUGAGUUCUCCCUGAGACUUAGAGUCUCCUGAAGGAACGUUGAAGACGACGACGUUGAUAGGCCGGGUGUGUAAGCGCAGCGAUGCGUUGAGCUAACCGGUACUAAUGAACCGUGAGGCUUAACCUU
rnacentral:rRNA from 1 species